GGCGAAGUAACCAAGUGUUUUAAGGUGCUGGGCUGCAAACCCAGUAUUCGUGAGUUAGAAUCUCACCUUCGCCUCCA
rnacentral:tRNA from 1 species